ensembl:lncRNA
GUUGUUACAACAGUACAAGAAGUUUUUCUAUACCAAAGGUAAGAGGUAUGGUAUGAUGUCGUCUUGAACUUGCUGGAGGAAGCCACGUAUCAUAUGUGUGAAGACACCUUUUACAUUGUUAUUUCCUCACAUAUUUACCGUAGGUUACAUAGAUUCAUAGGUCUCUUAUCACCAUAACCUCUUGAUAGUGAGAGGACAGGUAUGACUCAUUCUUCAUGUUCUACAGUCAAACAAUGCAUCAGGGUUUUCAUAAAUACUAUAUAAAAAUUGCAUUGAGAUCAAUAGGCCUCUCCAUAUUUCCUGGUUGGAUGAAUCUGGGAUCACAAGACUUUUUACCCAGCAGUAAAUGCUCUGUAAGGAAUGGUACUGCACUGGCAGAAAGACAGACUGAGAUGACUGAAUGGGGCUUUUCCAUCUCUAACUUCUAUGAUUUUAUGAUUCUGUGAAAUGAAUAUUAUCAUAACACUGACUAACAAAAUCCCAUCAUCAUGAUUUACUAUUAAUUAUCAACAUUAGCCUAUUAUUAAUUAACAUUUGCACCAUCUAUCACCAUCUAGCCAGACUGAUCAUUCACAAGCUUGCACAUAGAUUGUUUGAACAAAAGCUGCAGUACGCCAUAGAAUAUGUUUCACAGUAGGUUUGUCAGAGCCUCAUCUGUAAGCUUUUUACUAAUGCACUUUACAAAGUAUCUUAUUAUACACGGAUGAGGAAUGUGGCUGCAUCCAGUAAUAAUUUCAUUAAUUAUGAAUAAAGCAUUUACAAAUGACACCCUUAUCUAAAAAUGGGGAUGAACUCAUUUUGUUUCAAUGCAGAUGCAAUAUGUCAUUUGUGAUCCCGUAGGAAGCACUGCUGGGAGAGCAGGCCGGCGAAAAGGUCUAGAAGCUGAUGAGAUUUACACCAUUAAAUAAAAACAAACAAAAAGACCUCACUGGAGAAAAGAGCAGAGAAGUAGCAAAUGGCAUCAAAAUGAAACUGACCAAGUUCCAAGCUGGUGAAAGGAGGGAAUGUUUAAAGAUGCCACGGGGCGUUGAAAAGCCCAGCCUGGUCUCAGUCAACGACCUUGGGCUAGGACUGAGGCCAAUAAAGCAGUAUCCUAAGUUGAUGACUAACUGGAAGGAUAUAUUUCCUCUAAGACACACCCAUCACCGUAAAGUCAGAUAACAGAACUAUAAUUCAGGAAAGAGUUGGCAUAGAGAAAUACAAGCUGGUAAGAUGAAGAGAAGCACCAUUUUGUGUGGAUUACUUAUAAAAGGUUAGUAGCUCUUUCAAGAUUUUCAUAUCCAUUCCCAUUUUACAAAAUACAUUACAUUCUUUGUCCGCGCCACCAUGAAAAAGAACCGAUGCAAUUUUUGAAAAGAGCCGAAAAGAAAUACAACCGCUCCCAGAAAUUUCAUCUAGUGACACACUGAGAGUAAUAUACUCCGCUUUGAGCUAAGAUCAGCUAUCUUUUACUACACUAACGGGCUGAGUAUGGGAAUACAUAUCAUGCCGGCCAGUUGUCCGUCGUGGCUAGAAACACUUGUCGAAGGUAUAAGACAAACCUGUGGCUACUGAUUGUUGGAAAAUUCAGGACACUACAUAUGGAAAUUGGUAGCAAGCUUUCCUGAGCUCCAGGCAGUUUACGAAGGCUGCACAGCGUCAGCAUUUGUAAGGGGUUCAGAAAAACUCAGUGUGUGUUCCUUUCUGCAGCGUCCCUGUAUCUGCACAGUUUGUGGCGCUGCUGAUUUCUGCUUUGAACGGUAUUCAUUUGCUAUAAUUUUUCUACAGCCUUUCCUGCAACUGGAGAAAAUACCCAAAUU